rnacentral:pre_miRNA from 1 species
ACAACAACAUUCGGACCGUUGGUCUACCGAGCAAAUAUCAACCCCUCGGUGGAAGAUCUUCCCUUUGUCGUAUAUU